UUACGGCUCAGUAACACGUGGAUAACCUACCCUCAGAUCUGGGAUAACUCCGGGAAACUGGAGAUAAUACCGGAUAAUCCGUGAACGCUGGAAUGCCUUACGGUUGAAAGCUUUAGCGUCCGAGGAUGGGUCUGCGGCCGAUUAGGUAGUUGCUGGGGUAACGUCCCAACAAGCCGAUAAUCGGUACGGGUUGUGAGAGCAAGAGCCCGGAGAUGGAUUCUGAGACACGAAUCCAGGUCCUACGGGGCGCAGCAGGCGCGAAAACUUUACACUGCGCGAAAGCGCGAUAAGGGGACCUCGAGUGCGUGCGCAAUGCGUACGCUUUUCAGAUGCCUAAAAAGCAUGUGGAAUAAGGGCCGGGCAAGACCGGUGCCAGCCGCCGCGGUAACACCGGCGGCUCAAGUGGUGGCCGCUAUUAUUGGGCUUAAAGGGUCCGUAGCCGGACCAGUUAGUCCCUUGGGAAAUCUUACGGCUUGACCGUAAGGCUGCCAAUGGAUACUGCUGGUCUUGGGACCGGGAGAGGCAAGAGGUACUUUAGGGGUAGGAGUGAAAUCCUGUAAUCCUUGAGGGACCGCCAGUGGCGAAGGCGUCUUGCUAGAACGGGUCCGACGGUGAGGGACGAAAGCUAGGGGCACGAACCGGAUUAGAUACCCGGGUAGUCCUAGCCGUAAACGAUGCGAGCUAGGUGUCACGUGGAUUGCGAAUCCAUGUGGUGCCGAAGGGAAACCGUGAAGCUCGCCGCCUGGGAAGUACGGCCGCAAGGCUGAAACUUAAAGGAAUUGGCGGGGGAGCA
rnacentral:rRNA from 1 species